UACGUAGGUGGCAAGCGUUGUCCGGAAUUAUUGGGCGUAAAGCGCGCGCAGGUGGUUCCUUAAGUCUGAUGUGAAAGCCCACGGCUCAACCGUGGAGGGUCAUUGGAAACUGGGGAGCUUGAGUGCAGAAGAGGAAAGUGGAAUUCCAAGUGUAGCGGUGAAAUGCGUAGAGAUUUGGAGGAACACCAGUGGCGAAGGCGACUUUCUGGUCUGUAACUGACACUGAGGCGCGAAAGCGUGGGGAGCAAACAGG
rnacentral:rRNA from 1 species